rnacentral:rRNA from 1 species
AUGGGCGAAAGCCUGAUGCAGCGACGCCGCGUGCGGGACGAAGGCCUUCGGGUCGUAAACCGCUUUCAGCAGGGACGAGGCCGCAAGGUGACGGUACCUGCAGAAGAAGCCCCGGCUAACUACGUGCCAGCAGCCGCGGUAAUACGUAGGGGGCGAGCGUUAUCCGGAUUCAUUGGGCGUAAAGCGCGCGUAGGCGGCCUGCUAGGUCGGGAGUCAAAUCCGGGGGCUCAACCCCCGUCCGCUCCCGAUACCGGCUGGCUUGAGUCUGGUAGGGGAAGGUGGAAUUCCCAGUGUAGCGGUGGAAUGCGCAGAUAUUGGGAAGAACACCGGUGGCGAAGGCGGCCUUCUGGGCCACGACUGACGCUGAGGCGCGAAAGCUAGGGGAGCGAACAGGAUUAGAUACCCUGGUAGUCCUAGCCGUAAACGAUGGACACUAGGUGUGGGCGGAUUGUCCGUCCGUGCCGCAGCCAACGCAUUAAGUGUCCCGCCUGGGGAGUACGGCCGCAAGGCUAAAACUCAAAGGAAUUGACGGGGGCCCGCACAAGCAGCGGAGCAUGUGGCUUAAUUCGAAGCAACGCGAAGAACCUUACCAGG